rnacentral:rRNA from 1 species
CGGAGCCGAAGCGAAAGCGAGUCUGAAGAGGGCGGCCAGUCGGGGGGGGUAGACGCGAAACCGAGUGAUCUACCCUUGGCCAGGUUGAAGGUUGGGUAACACCAACUGGAGGACCGGAUGGGUAAGCGUUGAAAAGCUUUCCAAUGAGCUGAGGGUGGGGGUGAAAGGCUAAUCAAACUUGGAGAUAGCUCGUACUCCCCGAAAUGCAUUUAGGUGCAGCCUCUUUAUAGUAUAUCGUGAGGUAGAGCGACUGAUUGGAUGCGAGGGCUUCACCGCCUAUCAAGUCCAGAUAAACUCCGAAUGCGCGAUAUAUAUUUACAGGGAGUGAGGGCGCGGGUGCUAAGGUCCGUGUCCGAGAGGAGAAGAAUCCAGACCACCGGCUAAGGCCCCCAAAUGAUCGUUGAGUUGAACUAACGAGGUCGGAUCGCAGAGACAGCUAGGAUGUUGGCUUGGAAGCAGCCAUUCAUUUAAAGAGUGCGUAACAGCUCACUAGUCGAGCGAUCUGGCGUGGAUAAUAAUCGGGCAUAAACGAUCUGCCGAAGCCGUGGAUGUCGCAAGACAUGGUAGGGGAGCAUUCCAUGCCGCGUCGAAGAUGAGGGAUGACCCUUGUUGGAGCGCAUGGAAAAGCAAAUGUAGGUAUGAGUAACGAUAAGGGGGGCGAGAAACCCCCCCGCCGAAAGACCAAGGUUUCCUGAUCAACGCUAAUCGGAUCAGGGUGAGUCGGGACCUAAGGCAAAGCCGAACGGCGACGCCGAUGGAAGAAUGGGUUAAUAUUCCCAUACUGCCUCAUGGAGUGACGUGGAGACGGAGAAGUGACAGUCCUGCCGGCUGACGGAAUAGCCGGUUGAAGGGUGUAGAUAUUGAUUCCCGUAGGCAAAUCCGCGGGGAGAGUCGAACCUGACAGUAUACCGAGUACUUGUACGAGGUAAUAUGGACGUAACCAUGCUCCCAAGAAAAUCCGCUAAACUUAUCCAUGCGGCACCCGUACCGUAAACGGACACACGUGGUCGGGUUGAGAAUACUGAGGCGCUCGAGUGACUCACGGUUAAGGAACUAGGCAAAUUGACCCUGUAACUUCGGGAUAAAGGGUCCUCGUCGUAAGGCGAGGCGCAGAGAAUAGGUCCAGGCAACUGUUUAACAAAAACACAGGGCUGUGCAAAAUUGAAAGAUUACGUAUACAGCCUGACACCUGCCCGGUGCUGGAAGGUUAAGAGGAGAUGUCAUCGCAAGAGAAGCGUUGAAUUGAAGCCCCAGUAAACGGCGGCCGUAACUAUAACGGUCCUAAGGUAGCGAAAUUCCUUGUCGGGUAAGUUCCGACCUGCACGAAUGGUGUAAUGAUCUGGACACUGUCUCAACCGUGAGCUCAGUGAAAUUGUAGUAUCGGUGAAGAUGCCGAUUACCCGCGAUGGGACGAAAAGACCCCGUGAACCUUUACUAUAGCUUUACAUUGAAUUUGGGCAGACGAUGUGUAGGAUAGGCCGGAGGCUUUGAAGGGGGUACGCCAGUAUCCUUGGAGCCGCCGUUGAAAUACGGCCCUUCGGUUGUUUGAGUUCUAACUCCUAGGCAGGAGGACACUGUAUGGUGGGUAGUUUGACUGGGGUGGUCGCCUCCAAAAGCGUAACGGAGGCUUCUAAAGGUGCCCUCAGACCGAUUGGUAACCGGUCGUAGAGUGUAAUGGCAUAAGGGCGCUUGACUGGGAGAGAUACAACUCGAUCAGGUAGGAAACU